rnacentral:rRNA from 1 species
GACGAACGCUGGCGGCGUGCCUAAUACAUGCAAGUAGAACGCACAGUUUAUACCGUAGCUUGGUACACCAUAGACGAAGAGUUGCGAACGAGUGGGUAACGCGUAGGUAACCUGCCGGGUAGCGUGGGAUAACUAGUGGAAACGAUAGCUAAUACCGCAUAAUAUUGAUUAUUGCAUGAUAAUUAACUGAAGGGUGCAAUUGCACCACGACCAGAUGGACUUGCGGUGGAUUAGCUAGUAGGUGAGGUAACGGCGCACCUAGGCGAGGAUACAUAGCCGAAAUGAGAGGGUGAUCGGCCACACUGAGAGUGAGACCGGGCACAUAGUCACACGGGAGGCACCAGUAGGGAAUCUGGGGCAAUGGACGAGAGUCUGACCGAGAAACGCCGAGUGAGUGAAGAAGGUUUUCGGAUCGUAAAGGUCUGUUGUAAGGGUAGAACGGGUGUGAGAGUGGAAAGUUCACUCUGUGACGGUAUCUUACCAGAAAGGGACGGCUAACUACGUG